rnacentral:rRNA from 1 species
UACGAAGGGGGCGAGCGUUGUUCGGAAUUACUGGGCGUAAAGGGCGCGUAGGCGGCGACCCAAGUCAGAUGUGAAAUUCCUGGGCUUAACCUGGGGGCUGCAUUUGAUACGUGUGGGCUUGAGUGGGGAAGAGGGUCGUGGAAUUCCCAGUGUAGAGGUGAAAUUCGUAGAUAUUGGGAAGAACACCGGUGGCGAAGGCGGCGACCUGGUCCUUGACUGACGCUGAGGCGCGAAAGCGUGGGGAGCAAACAGG